UACGUAGGGGGCAAGCGUUGUCCGGAAUCAUUGGGCGUAAAGCGCGUGUAGGCGGCCCGGUAAGUCCGCUGUGAAAGUCCAGGGCUCAACCCUGGGAUGCCGGUGGAUACUGUCGGGCUCGAGUCCGGAAGAGGAGUGUGGAAUUCCUGGUGUAGCGGUGAAAUGCGCAGAUAUCAGGAGGAACACCAAUGGCGAAGGCAGCACUCUGGGACGUGACUGACGCUGUGACGCGAAAGCGUGGGGAGCAAACAGG
rnacentral:rRNA from 1 species